GGAAAUAUAGCUCAAUGGUUAGAGCAACACCCUUAUACGGUGACGGUUAUAGGUUCAAGUCCUGUUAUUUCCACCA
rnacentral:tRNA from 1 species